UUGUCAGACUUGUUACAAGGUUGUUCUAACAAGUCUGAUACAGCCAUGAUAUAACAAGAAUGUUACAAGGUUGACAACACAAAGUUGUAACAAUAUUGUUAUAUCAUGACUGUGUCAGACUUGUUGGAACAAUCUUGCAACAAGUCUGAUAA
rnacentral:miRNA from 1 species